rnacentral:rRNA from 1 species
CAAGCGGUGGAGCAUGUGGUUUAAUUCGAUGCAACGCGAAGAACCUUACCUACUCUUGACAUCCAGCGAACUUAGCAGAGAUGCUUUGGUGCCUUCGGGAACGCUGAGACAGGUGCUGCAUGGCUGUCGUCAGCUCGUGUUGUGAAAUGUUGGGUUAAGUCCCGCAACGAGCGCAACCCUUAUCCUUUGUUGCCAGCGAUACGGUCGGGGACUCAAAGGAGACUGCCGGUGAUAAACCGGAGGAAGGUGGGGAUGACGUCAAGUCAUCAUGGCCCUUACGAGUAGGGCUACACACGUGCUACAAUGGCGCAUACAAAGAGAAGCGACCUCGCGAGAGCAAGCGGACCUCAGAAAGUGCGUCGUAGCCCGGAUCGGAGUCUGCAACUCGACUCCGUGAAGUCGGAAUCGCUAGUAAUCGUGGAUCAGAAUGCCACGGUGAAUACGUUCCCGGGCCUUGUACACACC